UACGUAGGUGGCAAGCGUUGUCCGGAUUUACUGGGCGUAAAGAGCGCGCAGGCGGUCGAUCAAGUCGCGUGUGAAAGCCCCCGGCUCAACUGGGGAGGGUCACGCGAUACUGAUCGACUCGAAGGCAGGAGAGGGUAGUGGAAUUCCCGGUGUAGUGGCGAAAUGCGUAGAUAUCGGGAGGAACACCAGUGGCGAAGGCGACUACCUGGCCUGUUCUUGACGCUGAGGCGCGAAAGCUAGGGGAGCAAACGGG
rnacentral:rRNA from 1 species